GGGAAAGGUUGUUGUUCAGCUCUGAAAGCGCUUGGAGCAAUAGUGUGUGUGACGGAGAUCGAUCCGAUCUGCGCUCUUCAAGCCUGUAUGGACGGCUUUAGAGUGGUGAAGCUGAAUGAAGUGGUUCGUCAAAUGGACAUGGUCAUCACCUGCACGGG